AAAAGUGGGGAGACCUGACGCUGAAAGAUGGACUCGCGUCCCAUUAGCUAGUUGGUAGGGUAAUGGCCUACCAAGGCGACGAUGGGUAGCCGGCCUGAGAGGGUGGCCGGCCACACUGGGACUGAGACACGGCCCAGACUCCUACGGGAGGCAGCAGUGGGGAAUUUUGCGCAAUGCUCGUAAGAGUGACGCAGCGACGCCGCGUGAAUGACGAAGGCCUUCGGGUCGUAAAGUUCUUUCGACAGGGAAGAAAAUGCCUAUAAGUAACUGUGUAUGUAUUGACGGUACCUGUAUAAGCAGCCCCGGCUAACUCCGCGCCAGCAGCCGCGGUAAUACGGAGGGGGCGAGCGUUGUUCGGAGUGACUGGGCGUAAAGAGCACGUAGGCGGUGUUGUAAGUCAUUAGUCAAAGACUAGAGCUCAACUUUAGUAAGGCUAGUGAUACUAUAAUACUAGAGUAUCAGAGAGGAUUGCAGAAUUCCUGGUGUAGCGGUGAAAUGCGUAGAUAUCAGGAGGAAUACCGUUAGCGAAGGCGGCAAUCUGGCUGGAAACUGACGCUGAGGUGCGAAAGCGUGGGUAGCAAACAGGAUUAGAUACCCUGGUAGUCCACGCUGUAAACGAUGGAUGCUAGGUGUUGGGCUUUUAAGUUCA
rnacentral:rRNA from 1 species